rnacentral:rRNA from 1 species
CCUACGGGUGGCAGCAGUGGGGAAUAUUGCACAAUGGGGGAAACCCUGAUGCAGCGACGCCGCGUGAGUGAAGAAGUAUCUCGGUAUGUAAAGCCCUAUCGGCAGGGAAGAAAAUGACGGUACCUGACUAAGAAGCCCCGGCUAACUACGUGCCAGCAGCCGCGGUAAUACGUAGGGGGCAAGCGUUAUCCGGAUUUACUGGGCGUAAAGGGAGCGUAGGCGGGGUAGCAAGUCCGGAGUGAAAGCCCAUGGCUUAACCAUAGUACUGCUUGGGAAACUGUGGGUCUUGAGUGCGGGAGGGGGAGGUGGAAUUCGUGGUGUAGCGGUGAAAUGCGUAGAUAUUAAGAGGAACACCGACGGCGAAGGCGGCCUGCUGGAACGUAACUGACGUUGAGGCUCGAAAGCGUGGGGAGCAAACAGGAUUAGAUACCCCUGUAGUC